UGUCAUUUCAUCUUUGUCCACUUGUCUUUCCAUUGGCGUUUUCUUUCCUCAAUAAAGAAUAACUUUGCUCAGCCAUUUAACAUACUGCUUGCAAGUAGGAUCUGCAGCAAUUGGCAUCCUGAUGGCUCAGAGUAGGACCCCGGGAUGGUAUUUAUCGGAGGAAUUUUAGGAAUUUAACCCAGGCCAUCUUGUGUCCGCCUACACUUACCUGAAAAGUAAUUUACAUUAAUCAAGGUCAAGUUUAGGGGGACUAUUAAGAGUAAAGAAUUGUCUGUUGAAAAGAAAUGCGUGGGUUCUCACCUGGCUAUUAUUUUAUUUGUUGUGUAUGAACGGUAGCGAAAUUUCUUUACAUCUGCAAAGAUAAAGUGGGAUCUGCCUGCAGUGUGCUCCUUCUAUUUCCAUCUCUUUUGUCCAGGCUUCUCAUUUUUAUGCUCCGGAGGUUCAUGCAUUGGACGUUCACUUAGAGCAAUAUGCCCACACCUUUCAUUGUGACCUCGUGUUCUUCCAAACUGAGUCUACUGGUAGUACAAGAAGUCGUGUGUUAGCAUUAAAUGGGGACUGCGGGCUCAUUUAUCUUCAUGCCAGAUACAACUGGGGAAAAGGAUGCUGCUGGUGGAGCUCAGCUCUGCAGUGCCCCCGAAGGUGCUCUCCUUUCUGCAAGUUUUACAUGACUGAGAUGCUGCACGGUCCCCAUGUGCACUCUUAUCUCUAUUUCCACUAUUUCUUUCAUGUCGCUCCUGAUACCUGCCCCACGCUGAGAGUCACAGAGUCAUACAAUAAUUAAGGUUGGAAAAGACCACCACGACCAUCUAGUCCAACCAUCCACCUACCACCAGUAUUGCCUGUUAAACCACGUCCCUCAGUGCCACAUCUCCAUGGUUUGGAACACCUCCAGGGAUGGUGACCCCACCACCACCCUGGGCAGCCUGUGCCAGUGCAUCACCACUCUUUUGGAGAAGAAAUUGUUCUAAACCCUAAAAUACUAGUGCUUCAAAUAGAUAAAAGGUGUCCUGGACAUGAAGUACUUCACAAUUCGCUGCUAGAGCAGACAUGUCCAACCUGCGGCCUUUUUGGCCAUACAUGUAUUUGUGAACAUGUAUUUUUGAGGAGGAAGCACAGGAAGAGUAAAGUUUCAUCAAAAAUCUUUGGCAAACACCUUGAGAACUCAUGAAGAAUUGCAACCACUGCCAUCAAACCAGAACAAUACAUUAGUUUCUCAAAAACGAGGUCAAAUAUCCCACUAGUUUUAUGGCUUUGUUGCUCUCUUUUUUUCAUGGUGUAAUAAAAAUAAAUAAAAAAAGAAGUUUUGUUCUUAU
rnacentral:lncRNA from 1 species